UAAUGAUGCUUUAUUUGAUUGACAUCACAUCAUCAUAAAUGGCAUCUAAUUUCAGAAAACAAAGUUCAAGUCCGCAAAAAAUGCAUGUACAAAUCUAAGGAGAUAGGUCUACAGAAAUAGACACGUGGCUCUGUGGUCCGUAAGGUGCAGUCAGGAACCUCACAUCCUAGGGUCUGUCUGGGUUCAAUGUUCCAGUGGCGUGAGACAACCAAGGAAACAGACACCCCAAAGAGCCGAUGUUAUUUUUGAAUAUAUAUAUAUGUAUAUACAUGUACAUAUGUAAAUAUGUUGCCUUCAUCUGUAACAGUGCAAACCUCUCACAGCGUGCAAAGCAACAGUGUUUCCUACAGUCAAGUAACUAAAUCAGUGAAAAGUUAUCCACACAGCAUUAUAAAAACAUUAUAUAAUUACAUAGCAGAUAUAUAUGCACGCCUUUGCACGCUGAUUAGAGUUACUUGCAUUGACUUUUGCUUUAGAAGAAAUAAAAAAGGAAAAUCUUUAAAUAGUUCUUCAUCAAAUAAAAGGUAACAAUUUGUAACAGAUUCAACUAUGAACAGGUAUUGCAUCAAUAUGUCUACAAUAGAAAAACAUAAAUAUAUAAAAACAAAGGCAAAGGGGUCAGCUACACAUAUUAACUUACCAAACAUACAUGUUCUAUUGAAAAACUGAUCCCCAUUCACACCCUCCAGGUGGGAGGAUAAGACUAUAAAAAUGGGAAGCCAGCGUGUGGGUGUGGUGUUCUAUUUUAUUAGCAAUUUGGAUGAUAGGAUGUUUUGCUACUGUUUUCAGUUGGCCAAUGACAUAAUAGUGAGAUACUGAUUAUUAAGCUUGGGAAGCUGGUAGGUCAUGGAAAAGAGACCCCAAGAUGCAUAAUGACAGACAUGUAAAAAUGCAAACGUGUAAAAAUGAAAUCACUGCCGUGGUUACUACUAUAUUUUCAGACAAACCAAAUUGUGGUACCAUUCAGAUUAGACGGCGUUCAGGGAUCUCCAGGAGUCCACGGAUAUGGGGUUGUCAACCCUAAACCCACGUACUUCAUAAUUUCCUAACCUUCCCCUUCAAGGCCAGAUGCAUUUCAACCUGCCAGAAGGGGCACAUUAGGGCCCCCUAAGAGGCACGAUUGUUUGAGUAACUUCCCCAGAAACGGACAUGUCUGCUGCUGCCUCAGCUGCAGCACUCUCAUUGGGCAAGCUGUUUUCUAGAGGCUCAUAGGCAGGUGCGGUGAGCAGUGAAGAGUCAAAUUAAUUCUGAGCGCCGGCACUCAGAGCUUCAGAAGCCUCCUUAAAGGGAGAUUUGUCUGGGGGACUAGAGGACUGGCCCCCACACAGGUCACCAGGGAGGGUCCUGCCUCACUGCUCGGGGGCUCACCUGGAGGGAAUGGGCGUUUUCAACACUGACCUCACUCGAUGUAGUUCUGAGUCAUGAGCAAGGACUUUUGCCUUUUUCCAAUUCUGCAUUUCACCAGGCUAUUCCUAGGUAGGUCUUCCCUAUGUGCAAUGUCUUACAAGAAGAUCUAUUUUGAAAUUAAAUGAGGACUUUUUAUAAAGGCUAAGUUUGACUCUGGUUAAAAACUUAAUCUGGAAGGCAAUGCCAUAUUUGUAUAGAACAAGCACACUUAAAAUUACACUUUAAUAUCUAUCUCAAUUGUGUUUACUAAAAAAGAUCUAGCAGUAAAAAAGGAAUCUCUAAGAAUUAGCAAACUAAAUCCAUGUGUAAAUAAAAUUCAGACCCUUUUCGUUCUUUCGAAGUGGGAAAUAAGAGCUUCAGGGACAUCGCCAAGGAAUCCCACCACCUUUGAGCUGGCAUGGCCUUGGGCAUGAUGUACUGUAACUAUUUACAGAUGAGGAAAAAUGUAGCUUAGAAAGGUUCACUGAUUUUCCCGCAAAAACACAGCCUUUCCAUCGGAAGCCCUGAUUCUAGGAGAAUGAUAUUCUAGAGGGAGUAAACAAUGGCAUUUUCCUAAAGGUGGACUUCUUUGGCCAGAAUCACCUUCUCUGCAUGUAGUCAAACUGCUUCUGAGAGCUGACAAACUCACAGGCAGCCUUGUUGUGAAUUCAAAGACCACUUGACCUCCAGAUAGGCACCUGUUUCUGCCCUAGCGGGAUUUGACUUAUGUGAUUCAGUCAUAGGAAAGAAGCGGUUUCCAACGUGCAAAGUUUACACAGGCCUAACACUGAGGCGGUGAUGCAGCUGUGAGGUCGCAAAACCCAGAGAUGAAAUCUCCCACCACUCGAAGUGCGUUGUUUGAUCAAGUUUCAAAUGCCUCCACAUGCUGAAGUCUACUGACUUCGUCCUAAGCCCUUGGAUUCUGAUGCCAUCUCGUUGGCCUCCUCCCCUCUUGCACAGUUAGCCCAUCUUUCACUGCUGGCCACUCCUGCUGAGCCAACCCUCAAAGGUCGUGCCUGAAUUUCCCUAAGCCCCAUUCUUCCAGGUUCAGUGGAGGCAGCUGAGGUGAUACAGGAGGAAAGGGAAGCUGUUUGUUUGUUUGUUUAAAUCAACCUAGGCAAAAUUAAAGGUAGUCAGAAAGUUAGGAAGAAACAAACAAUAUAUUUCGCUUAAAAUAAGAAGCACGUGGAAAAAGAAAGACUUUGAAAGAGUUGGCCAAUGUCUUCUCACAAUUUUUUGUAUAGCUUUUAAAAAUGUCUGCAUGGCUCAGUGGAGAUGGUGUCCACGUC
rnacentral:lncRNA from 10 species